rnacentral:rRNA from 1 species
AUUGAACGCUGGCGGCAGGCCUAACACAUGCAAGUCGAGCGGAUGAAGGGAGCUUGCUCCUGGAUUCAGCGGCGGACGGGCGAGUAAUGCCUAGGAAUCUGCCUGGUAUUGGGGGAUAACGUCCGGAAACGGGCGCUAAUACCGCAUACGUCCUGAGGGAGAAAGUGGGGGAUCUUCGGACCUCACGCUAUUAGAUGAGCCUAGGUCGGAUUAGCUAGUUGGUGGGGUAAAGGCCUACCAAGGCGACGAUCCGUAACUGGUCUGAGAGGAUGAUCAGUCACACUGGAACUGAGACACGGUCCAGACUCCUACGGGAGGCAGCAGUGGGGAAUAUUGGACAAUGGGCGAAAGCCUGAUCCAGCCAUGCCGCGUGUGUGAAGAAGGUCUUCGGAUUGUAAAGCACUUUAAGUUGGGAGGAAGGGCAGUAAGUUAAUACCUUGCUGUUUUGACGUUACCAACAGAAUAAGCACCGGCUAACUUCGUG